UUAAAUUGAAGAGUUUGAUCAUGGCUCAGAUUGAACGCUGGCGGCAGGCCUAACACAUGCAAGUCGAACGGUAACAGGAAGCAGCUUACUG
rnacentral:rRNA from 1 species